rnacentral:rRNA from 1 species
UACGUAGGUGACAAGCGUUAUCCGGAAUUACUGGGCGUAAAGCGCACGUAGGCGGCUUGGUAUGUCGGGGGGGAAAUCCCCGGGCUCAACCUGGGAACUGCAUCCGAAACUGCCUUGCUCGAGUAUGGGAGAGGGAAGUGGAAUUUCCGGUGUAGCGGUGAAAUGCGUAGAUAUCAGAAGGAACGCCGGUGGCGAAAGCGACGGACUGGACCUCAUCUGACGCUGAGGCGCGAAAGCUAGGGGAGCAAACGGG